AGCGUGUUCGGAUUCACUGGGCGUAAGGGUGCGUAGGUGGUGAGGUAAGUCGGAUGUGAAAUCUCGGAGCUUAACUCCGAAAUGGCAUUGGAAACUACCUUGCUAGAGGGUUGGAGGGGGGACUGGAAUACUUGGUGUAGCAGUGAAAUGCGUAGAUAUCAAGUGGAACACCAGUGGCGAAGGCGAGUCCCUGGACAACUCCUGACACUGAGGCACGAAAGCUAGGGGAGCAAACAGGAUUAGAUACCCUGGUAGUCCUAGCCGUAAACGGUGCAUGUUUGCUGUAAAAGGAAUCGACCCCUUUUGUGGCGGAGCCAACGCGUUAAACAUGCCGCCUGGGAAGUACGGUCGCAAGAUUAAAACUCAAAGAAAUUGACGGGGGCCUGCACAAGCGGUGGAGUAUGUGGCUCAAUUCGAUGCAACGCGAAGAACCUUACCUGGCCUUGACAU
rnacentral:rRNA from 1 species